UAUAGGGUCGCACAGAGUCGGACACAACUGAAGCGACUUAGCAGCAAGAGAUGAGGAUUAGAAGAGGAAAUUAGAAAGAACUAAAAACAGCUGCUUCAAACAGCAACUGCUACUUAUUCCCCAAUUUAUUAAUUCUUGAUUCCUUUUUAAUACAGACACCAUUUCUAACCCCCUCUGUAGUUUGUUGAGAACUUAACGGCAAAGUUCUAAGGGUACGUGAGAUUCUAGGGAGUGUCCUUAAAGAGAGGGCAUGUGUUCUUUGUCUCUUCCUCCUUCACGCUGGAAAUGACUGGAAUGUUGGUAGCCAUCCUGGACUCCUGAGGAAGGUGAAGAGGAAGAAGGAAGGGGCCGGAGUUUCUGCCCUGAGAAUCCUGUCAGGGUGGGAGCAAUGGCAAUGACAGAGGGAGCAGUGGGACCCGCAGGCACCGCAACCUGAGGGAUGCGAGGUCACAGGUGCUGUGAUCCAAGAGGUGUCUUCCAGAGAACAGAAGUUUUAAACUCUGAUGAAGUGCAAUUUACAAUUUUUGCUAUUAUGGACUAUGCUUGGGGUAUCAUGCCUAUGAAAGCUUUGUCUGAACCAAAGUCACAAAGAUUUUCUGCUAUGUUUUCUUCUAGAAAUGUUAUAGUUUGUUUUUGUAUUUGGGUCUGUAAUCCAUUCAAGUUAAUUUUUGUGUAUGGUAGAGGACUGGAGUUCUACAUUUUGGUUAUGGAUAUCCAGUGGUUCCAGUACCAUUUGUUGAAAAGAUUAGCCAUUCUCCACCGAAUUUUCUUAGCAAUUUUGUCAAAACAUAGCUGUCCAUAUAUGUGUAGGCCUAUUUCUGAACUCUAUUCUCUGCCAUUCAUUUAUUUUCCCAGUAUUUAUGCUAAUAGCUUAUUGUCUUGAUUACUGAAGCUUUAUCAUGUCUUGAAAUCAGGUAGUAUUAGCCUUCCAAACUUGUCUUUUUCAAAGUUAUUUUUGGCUAGUCUAGAACCUUUGCAUUACCAUGUCAAAUUUAAAAUCAGCUUGUGAAUUUCAACAACAAAAAAACCCUGCUGGGAUUUGAAUAGGAAUUGCAUUGAAUCUAUAGAACAACCUGGGGAAGACUGAAAUCUUAACAAUUUUGAGUCUUUCAACCUAUGAACAAAGCAUAUUUCUUUAUUCAUUUAUGGCAAAUUUUCCUCAGCUGAUUUUAUAGCUUCUAAUGUACAUGUUUUUAAUAUCUUUUGUCAGAUUUAUUCCUAGAUAUUUCACAUGUUUGAUACUAUUAUAAAUGAUAAUUUUUUUUAAAUUUCAGUUUUUGAAUGUUCAUUUCUAGGGAAUAGAAACAUUAUUAUUUUUAAUAUGGCUCUACAUACUGCAAUCUUGCUAAAUUCACUUAUUAAUUCUAGUAGCUUUUAAAAAUAGAUUCCAACAGAUUUUCUAAACAAUUGUACCGAAUGUUGUCUAUAAAUAAAGAUAAUUUUACUUCUCUUUUCUCAGCCUGGAUGCCUUUUAUUUCCUAUUCCUCCCCUGCUGUACUGACUUGAAUAAACUUACACAAUAGUACAAUGUUGAAAAGACUUUACAAGAGCAGAUAUCUUUGUU